UAACUAUGGUGGAAGCAGAGGGCUUGCAAUUCUUUGUAUCUUUCCCACGCUUAAUAUAAAGUUUCACCCUCCUUUUGAGUAAAAGAAGAUAUUUAUUUUUUUCA
rnacentral:snoRNA from 1 species